rnacentral:rRNA from 1 species
GUGGGGAAUUUUGGACAAUGGGCGCAAGCCUGAUCCAGCAAUGCCGCGUGCAGGAAGAAGGCCUUCGGGUUGUAAACUGCUUUUGUACGGAACGAAACGGUCCGGGUUAAUACCCUGGGCUAAUGACGGUACCGUAAGAAUAAGCACCGGCUAACUACGUGCCAGCAGCCGCGGUAAUACGUAGGGUGCAAGCGUUAAUCGGAAUUACUGGGCGUAAAGCGUGCGCAGGCGGUGCUGUAAGACAGGCGUGAAAUCCCCGGGCUCAACCUGGGAAUUGCGCUUGUGACUGCAGUGCUGGAGUGCGGCAGAGGGGGAUGGAAUUCCGCGUGUAGCAGUGAAAUGCGUAGAUAUGCGGAGGAACACCGAUGGCGAAGGCAAUCCCCUGGGCCUGCACUGACGCUCAUGCACGAAAGCGUGGGGAGCAAACAGGAUUAGAUACCCGUGUAGUCC